rnacentral:hammerhead_ribozyme from 1 species
AUCCAGCUGACGAGUCCCAAAUAGGACGAGAUGCCCAUCUUGGAU